GUGAAACUGCAAGUCGAGAGCGUGGGAAACCAGCAAGUUGAGAGAGGAUCCAGAAGUAACCCCUUCUAAAACGGGAAAGAUGCCUUCCGAAAGGUGACCAAAUUCUUGUUUUAGAUGGUGGUGUUAAUUUGGGAGGUUGGAAGGGAGGCAGGUGGGAGAAGGGACAUGUCCCUUUCGAAGAGCCCCUUUGUUUCUUCUGUGGAGCACAGCUCUGUGGGAGGCAUCUGCUCUUUACCUAUAGACCGGAUGGCCUGGUACUGGUCUUCUCUAGACUGAAGGUCCUCCACCAGGUCUCCUGCUGCUGCUACCUAAGAAAGAAAUCUCACAAGGGUGUUAAAAGCACUUGGCCCUAAAGAGAAAACACUAGGAGGAUGGGAACCAGGGACAGAGAAGCUACUUGCUCUGCAGCUGUUUGGGCCAAUGAUCCAAUGGCCCCAUCUAGACUGGAGACACCAACUCAUGACUCAGCUGGCCUUGUGGCCCACACCCAGAAGUGGACUCAGUGCAUGAGGACUAUUUUCCACACUCCUAUGAUAGCAUCCCCAACCAAUCAGCAGGACCAUUUCCUAGCCCCUUGCCCACCAAACUAUCUUUUAAAAAACCUGGCUGGGCGCAGUGGCUCACACCUGCAAUCCCAGCACUUUGGGAGUCUGAGGUGGGUGGAUCACGAGGUCAGGAGUUCAAGACCAGCCUGGCUAAGAUGGUGAAACCCUGUCUCUACUAAAAAUACAAAAAAAAUUAGCCGGGCAUGGUGGCAGGCACCUGUAAUCCCAGCUACUUGGGAGGUUGAGGCAGAGAAUUGCUUGAACCCAGAGGCGGAGGUUACAGUGAGCCGAGAUCACUCCACUGCACUCCAGCCUGGAUAACAGAGCAAGACUCUGUCUCAAGGAAAAAAAAAAACAACCUAGCCUCCACAUUUUCAGAGAGGCUCGUUUGAGUAAUAAUAAAACUCUGGUCUCCCAUUUAGCUGGCUCUUCUUGUAUUAAACUCUUUUUCUAUUGCAAUAACCCUGUCUUGAUAAAUUAGCUUCAUCUGGGAAGCAGGCAAGAAGAACUUAUUGGAUGGUUAUAUAGUGGGCUUCUAGCAUGGCCUAGAGAUGCAGAGGCCAUGGCAGAUAAAGCCAACUUCCUCCAACUGAGUAGAGGACUCAGGGGCCCAGAGGAGUCAGAAGGGGAGAUGGGAGCCAAGGAUGAGGAAGAACUCCUGGAAAGGCCUGAGAAAGAAGGACCCUAAGUUUAGCAUCUUAGGUCCCGAAAAAUGGCUGAAGGAGAGGAAAAGAUGGAGAGAAAGAGUAUUGUGACAUGAACCUGCCCCUGUGCCUCGAGUUCCUGGGAGUUUCUUGUUAGCUUCUGUGUCCUGUUUUUCUGUAUCCUCUGCAAAGGAAAGAUGAAAUCUGUUGCCACAUAGGCGAUGGGGUUCAGGACACACUACUCCAAAAGAUGGCAUCUUGUCAUAUUGAAGAAAAUAGCAGAAACUGGACCAUUGGUCUUACCUUUCCCCAUACUUCUCCCCUGAAGUGGAUUAUAAAACCUAGGAAGGACUCUCUGACUGAGACGGUUUGGCUGUGUCUCCACCCAAAUCUCAUCUUGAAUUGUAACUCCCACAAUUCCCACAUGUCAUGGGAGGAACCCAGUGGGAGGUGAUUGAAUUAUGGGGGCGAGUCUUUCCUGCACUGUUCUUGUGAUAGUGAAUGAGUCUCAUGAGAUCUGAUGGUUUGAUAAGGGGAAGCCCGUUUUGCUUGGCUCUCAUUCUCUCUCUUUGCCUGCCACCAUCCACGUAGGAUGUGACUUGCUCCUCCUUGUUUUCCAACAUGAUUGUGAGGCCUCCCCAGCC
rnacentral:lncRNA from 10 species